UUAAAUAGAAGGAUAACAAUGAAGAUUAAGCUGACUAUUAUUGUGGUUUAUUGGCUAAGAUAGAGUGCUAUUUAGAAUCUUUACAUGUAUGGUUGACUAAUGAUUUUUAUUAGAAGAUACUU